AUUUAUAUAGUUUAAAUAAAACAUUACAUUUUCACUGUAAAGAAAAUAUAAAAAUAUUUAUAAAUA
rnacentral:tRNA from 2 species